AAUGGCGCCUACUGCUAAAGGUCCAGCUACUCUCUGUUCUAGAAGAAUACAUCUUCUUAAGGAAAGAGAAGGGGGCAGAGCAUUAGAGGCGCGCAAAGGAUACCCUCACGACCCUUGUAGGUCCUCUACUUCUUCAAAGGAAACCUUUAAAAAGGUUCAACACAUGCUGCAAAAAGACCAUUUAUUCGUGGAGGUUUCCCCAAGGACAGGGUUUUCUAGGAGCGACGUCUUGGAAAGGCACCUUAGGUCAGUUGGCUUGGAAGCUAAGGGCCUAUAAGAGGAUGAGGAAUCCAACAUUGAUGCAAUAGAAAAGUGUUCCUUGGAAGAGAAUGAAGAGGGUGGUCUGACUUUAUCUGAUUUCUUUUAGGAAGUCCCUAAUGUAGACAUGAAUACAUGUAUCUUUUGUUGCAAGUUUAAUAUGACCGGGAAAACAACUACAUGUUAAGGGUUUAGGGUGAGUGCAUUGAUUAAAAAGGUGUUACCUAGAUUUCUAAUAGCUAUUUUACAUAGACAUUAAUGAAAGAGGUGUUGGAGGAGAUCCUUUUACAACUACGGUUUUGGAGGAGAUCCUUUUACAACUUCUGGUAGCUGCUGCUUGAGUCUCUUUAUGCCUCCGAAGUUUGCAUCAUCUCUCUCCUCCAAUCUCAAGCGCAGCCAUGAUUAUCUCAGAGAAGAAUUGCAAGGAGAUUUCCAAGUACCUCUUCCAAGGUCCAACUACUCUCUGUUCUAGAAGAAUACAUCUUCUUAAGGAAAGAGAAGGGGGGCAGAGCAUUAGAGGCGCGCAAAGGAUACCCUCACGACCCUUGUAGAGUUGUAGGUCCUCUACUUCUUCAAAGUUGGUUGAGCAGUCUGGACUCUUAGAAGUUCCUGGAUUCUUCUGCAGAUACAAGCUGCUCAAUUUCCCCAAUACCCUAUUACCUCAGUCAUUUUUAUCCUAGAAGUGUAACUGGGUCAGAGAUUGAAGUAUACAACAUUAAAGUGUUGUUCUUCACGGUGUAUUAAAACCUGACUUUCUUCGCUUCUGUUUCUCUUCUUUUCGGAUGCAUGAAGCAGGUGGUGAAACCCUCCCCUUCAGCUCAUGUAGCAACGAGCAAAGCUUCCAUUCUGGUCCUUCAUCUACAGGUAUUGGGUCCAUACUUAUGAUCAAAUCUAAGCUUCCCUCACAAUUUGCAUCAACACUUGAUACUCUCCAGUUAAUGCAUGGUAGAACCGAAAAAUGAUGAAACUUGUGUGCUUUCACCAAUAUAAAAAGUUGUUAUCCUCUUAAGGCAUCUUUUUAUUAGUUGGAAAAUACUCCCUCUGUCCCUUAAUACUUGCACCGUUUUGACUUUUUGCACUAUUCACAUAAUUCACUUUGACCCUAUUUUAUUUAUAGUAUAUGAAAAUAAAUGUUAAUAUAUAAUAUAUUGUUAGCUUCAUCUCAAUAUAUAUUUUCAAAAUAUUAAAAUUUUUAUAACUUUUUAUAAUAUAUAGUUAAAGAUAUUGGUGGUCAAAGUUGUGCAUUGGCAAGCGUGUCCGGUCGAAACGGUGCGAGUAUUAAGGGAUGGAGGGAGUAACUCAGUUUUUUUUUUUUUAAAAAGGAAAUAAAGGAAUUUGUGAUCUUUUAAUACAUUUGCGGGAGAGGAAAUGAUAAGAUUCAAUGUAUAUAUGCACAAAAUGAGCAAGAUGCAUCUGACAGGACUGUAAUAGCAUGGUCUGCAAUGACUUUAUUGAAUGAGUGUUGCAGAUCCCAACUCGCCUGUUGUGUUGCAGACCCUACCCGCUCUUUCUGAAUUGGUGCUGUUCGUUUUCCCUGGCCAGUUCCAUCUAUUAGACCUGAUGGGUAACUAGCUAUGCUUUUAUUGUGUACUCCUUCUGUCCCGGAAUACUUGACCUGUUUUCCUUAUCGGACCGUCCCUUAAUAUUUGACCUGUUUCUAAAAAUGGAAAUAUUCUAACAAUAUUAUAUUAUUUCUCACUCCACCCUUAUUAACCCACCUACCCCCUACUCCAUACAAAAAAUAAUUAAAAAUUCAAUCCCUACUCUCCCCCAACCCCACCUCUUAACCCACCUCCCACUAACUACAUUAAAAUAAUAUCCCACUAUCAACUACUACCUAUUAAAUUAAAUAAGUCAAUUCAAGUUCCUUAAACUCUGUGCCGGUCAAACCGGGUCGAGUAUUCUGGGACGGAGGGAGUAUCUAUGUUGUUGCUCCGUUAUGUCUUGCUUCUAAUAGAUGUUUGUUCUCCAUGGCCAGUCAUCAGUUGUAUCGCGUCGGAGUAAACAGUUGAGAAUGACCUUGUUUAUGUUGCAUUGCUUAGUAGUGUGAACUACCCUAUGUGGUGGAUGUUUUUUUAGGGGAACAGUGAAGACUUGAAUUUUCAUGUUCCUAUAUUGGAAAUAUUCAUUGAACCGUUUGGAUCACCUAUGUAUAAGGCAAUCCUAUGGAACCUACAUUAUGUAAGCAAGUAUAUUUCUUAUGGUCUAUUAUAUCCAUAUAUGCAAGUAUUGUGUAAUUGUGUAUAAGGAAAUUCGAUGGAACUUACAACAUGUAAUUAGCUAUGUUUUUUAUAGUCUAUUACAUUCAUGUUUGCAAGUA